CCCCGCCGCCUCUCGGCUCUCCCUCCCCAAGACAAAGUAUUUCAUAUAGUCUGACCAAUAGGAAAUUGAAGAGGCGGGGUUUAUCUUAGAACUGUCCAAUCGUAAGGGACCCAAAUAUUGCCCUCUCGCCUCUUAGACUCUCCAGGCAAUCAAUGAGAAGAAAGCGGAGGCGGGCUUUGUUUAGAUCUUAGCCAAUCUCCAUGCUUUCACCUACCCCCUUCCACUUCACGGGACGGUGCUUCAAGUCCGAAGACCAAUAAGAAAUCGUUACUGGCUAAAAAAACAGGCACAUCAUUUUACAUCACUUCACGUGGCCCUACUGGUGCUAUCCUUCUGUUUAGUAUACUGAUGCAAAGGGAACGCCUUAAAUCUGUAAAAUUUGUAAAAUGGGGAUCAUGCUACUCAUAGUACCUUAUUAUGAAGAUAAAAUGAAAAUGUAAAAAGUUAUGUAAACAAAGCCUCUGGGUAACUGUCAGAUGGUGAUGAUGUCAUCGUCAUCAUCAUCUCAUUGUCAUUAUUUUUAUUUGGACAGAGUCCCAAUAGAAACACUGAACUAUUCUGUUGUUACUCUUCCGAGAUUUAUAUUUGGUAGACUAUUGGGUGUGUGGAUAAAGUAACUACUCUUUCUAAUUGGUUAAAAGGGUGCCAUAUAAGCUCUUCAGUAGACUCACCAAAAGCAGACAGUGAAUAAACAUUUAUUUAGCCCCUACCUACUAUGUGCUCUCAAAUACUUUACAAAUAUCUCAUUUGUAAUUUUUAAAAAAGUAAACAUGAAAAUGAAAAAAUCCCACACACCUGGAAAGUAGGUGCUAUUAUAAUCAUCCCCAUUUUACAGUGGAAAAAAGGGGCAAACAGAGGCUAAGCCACUUGCUUAGGGUCACUUAAGUAAUGAGUGUCUGAGGCUGGAUUUGAAUUUAAAACAUCUCCACUACAGGUACAGUCUUCUAUUCUCUAUACCACCUAUCUAGCAACCCCACAAAGUUGGGGGCCAGGUUAUAAAGACUUUGGACGCCAAACAGAGCAUUUUAUAUUUAAUCCUGGAGGUAAUAGCUAGGGAGACACUGGAGUUUAUUGAGUAAAUUAAUUUAUCUUGUAAAUAAACUUAUAGAGUUUAUCUAGUUGGGCCUAUGCUUUAGGAAAAUCACUUUAGAGGCUGAAUGGAGGAUGGACUGCAGUGAGGGGGGUCUUGAGGCAAACAGAUCACCAUAGCAACUGUUAACAAUCCUCCAGGGCUGAGAUGAUGAGAAUCUGCACCAGAGGGUAACAGUGACAGAAAAGGGAAGAGAGAAGUCUGGAAGAGACGUUGCAGAGGCUGCCUUAAUGGGCCCAGAACCUGAAUUUUGACUAUUUCUGUGGAUCUCCAUCAGGAUGCUUUCUGCAGCUGGUGCCAUCCAUCGUACUGUUCCCAAAGUGUAUAUUGACUGGCAUAUUGACAGGGAGAGUGUUAAUUACAUUAUUAUUAUUUCA